rnacentral:rRNA from 1 species
AGUGAACGCUGGCGGCGUGCCUAACACAUGCAAGUCGAAGGAAGUGGCGCACGGGUGAGUAAUAUAUAGCUAAUCUGCCCCUUGCUGGAGGACAACCGUUCGAAAUGCCUGCUAAUCAUCCAUAGCACGGGAGAAGUCUAUAACGUAUCAGCUAGUCGGUGGGGGAACGGCCUACCGAGGCUAUGACCCGUAACUGGUCUGAGAGGACGAGCAGUCACAUGGGAACGGGGGCACGGACCAAACUAAUGCGAGAAGCAGCAGUAGGGAAUGUCGCGCAGUGGGGGAUACCCUGACGGAGCACCGGGGCGUGGAGGAGGACAGAUUUCGUAGCGUAAACUCCGGUUGUUAGGGACGCGGUACCUAACGAAUAAGCACCGGCUAACUCCGUGCCAGCCGCCGCGGUAAUAC